ensembl:snoRNA SNORA72 Small nucleolar RNA SNORA72
CUGUGAAUAUUCUCACUGUUCUGAUUUUGUGAUAGUCAGGACAGGCUAAACAUUUGCUAUAUUAAGACCAUGCAUGUGUCCCCUAACAUAGUUCUUUCCCUGGGUCUGGUUUUAUAAAUGCUGGUAAUAAAC